AGUUUCUCUUUUUCUCUCCAUAUCUCACCAUCUCUUUCAAAUGCUUCUGAGAAAUGUACGAAUGAGGCAAGACCGCCUUACCCAAACUGAUUCUCUCGCCAACAGUAUUGCUACAUCCCUCUCGCUGCCCAGCAUUACCUUUUUUAACCCUUUUUCAUCAGAAUUCCUUUUGGUUCGUGCAAGCACACAAGGCCUCAUCUUUGGCCCCUCGUCGUCUUAUGUCACCAGUCCCUCCCUCGCAAUUUACCAACCUUACUUGAUCCUCCAGGGGGCCACAAAAGGCAAACAAAAUAGAUUUCCCCCCUUCCUUUCCUGCCCUCCCCUCAUCACUCUGCCAUCUCUCGUUCUCCUGUUCACAACCAGAGAUAUGCCCCCUCGCACAUUUCCCAAAUUCCUUGAGAUCUGGCUUCAAGAGCCAGCGCCUAGGGCCAGGAAUGCCACCGCUGCCUGCGUUCAAAAGGGAAGCCUCUGUGUGCACACAUGCCGACAAACACACACCCACAGCUCUCUAGAGCGCCCUGUAAUCAGGCUCUGUUUUGACCUUGACACACACAGAGAAGAAAGCACUAAUGACUACACUCACACAGGAGGUUGUUCUUUUGUACUGUGGUAUGUACACCAAAGGCAUUCGCUCUCCUGCGUCCCCCUCUGAUCCACCCACUGACCCUUGUACACACUUCACACACCCAUUGCGCACCUCAGUGUCCAGCCUUCGCAAAUUUUCAGGAAGAGUCCAGAGGUUUUUAGGAGCCAUUGAUCACUGUGCCAGUCCCAGAAGCAGGGUCAUAUGGUUUCCUAUGACUUAGGAGCUGCUGAAUCAGGAAUCUACCUGCUCCCAUGUCAGGGGUCCUCAGUGCACACCCUCACUGUGUGAAGUGUGCAUCUUGUAGCUCUGAGGCUGCCCUCUCUUUGCACCAACUUUCUUCUGACUGGCUGAGGCUGCUGUGCUUGAGAUGACCAUAUUAAGUACAUCCACUGUUGCUGACAUCACACAGAUGCAGACUUGAAAAAAGCUGUCUGAAACCAAGUGUUUAUACAACAGUCUGAAUUUAGUCCAUUGUAACAGUUGUAUGACAGAAAUUAAUGGAACACAAACUAGUUCCCCUUAAAGGGUACAGCUGUUGUAUUGCAACUUCCACAGUGUUCUCCUCUUUUGCAAAGCUUCAUCACAGUUUUAUUAGUCUUGCUAAAUUUUUGAUUGCGGUGCCACUAAGAUACAUGAAUUAUGAUGCUGAUUCCAAAAAUGUUGCCUUCUGAAGCAAAAACAGCAACACUGCGACUGAAGCAAAGAACGGGUAAACACGACUAAAAAUCUGUUUAGCAUUUGGUUCCAAUUUUAGGUGCUUGACAGUUCUUUUUUUCACAGCCACUAACACAUUUUGCUAAUCCAGCACAGAUUGUUUUGCUGUAGCAAAGUUGGCAGCGCAGAGAUCAACAGGAAGUGAGCCAUCGUAGAAAUAAAGCAAUGUGUGCAUGUGCCAGAAGAGCUAAGAACCCAUUACAGGGUACACAUUGCAGGGCAGCUGAGAUAGGAUCUGGAAUGAUGGGGUUUGAAGGUUUUUAAUAAGGUACAGCAGCUAAUGUUUCAGCACAGAGUAUGACUUCAUCAGAGGGAGAAGAGGAGGCUUUGGCAGUGUGGAUGUUCAGAGUGCCUGCACCCAGCUAAUAAGUGUCUCUCAUAGCAUGAACAGGUUUUACGUGUGUCUAGCCAAUACCUUAUUCCGAAAGAAUGUAUUAUUAUACAUCCUGGGUUUGUGAGACAUGUCUAUCCACUGCUCUUUUUAUGCUUGAAUAAUCACUCAUGAAAGUUGUACGUUUCUUUUAUCUUAUCCACCAAAGUUUUGCUGCUUUUAGCGAAACUUGAGGGUAAUUUUUUCCUCACUUUUCUGAUAUUGUACCCGUUCAUACCUCAGCAAUGUCCUGCUCCUGAAUUGUUACACGUCACAACUGCUGAUGUGAAGCAGACUUUGGUGUUGUUUCGGCUUGUUGUGACCCCUCUAUCACAACAAGGCACAAGAGUGUGUUUCCGGUUCAAUCUCUGCAGACAGUGGCGUGAUGUACCUCAAUAGUUAGAAUAACUUUCAAGACCGUAGUGUUUUUUUGUUUGAUUGUUUUUUUUAAGGCAUAGGCAGCCUGUAUUCCAAGGCUGAAGAGGAAAGAUGCCCACAAGCAGAGGAAAAAGUGCACCUGGAAGACAGUGACCUGGGAAAACUGCCACAUUAGCUCCUCUCGCAACUCGUUGAUCAAAUGCCAAUUUUUGCUGAUUUAUUUCCCCAAAGAACUUCUGUUGACACCCUCUACAAACAAAAAUCAGAGUUUUACAGAAAACAAAGUGCUGUGCUGAAGGAAAGACGUACAGAUGGUUAACUGAAAAUCAGUUGCUGUACACCAUUCUUUACUUGACAUAUUUUACCUUAACCAACAAAAGCAGGUGCAGGUUUUGCACCUGCACAUGUUACUGUAUAUGAAUGUUGGUCCUAAGUGAGGCUAAGCAGGCUGAGAACCCUGAAAAUAAGCUGACUGUGGUUCGUUGUCAUUUGUUUACUACAGCUCUAAUUACAUAGAUGCUCAGCUAAUGUAAUGAAACUGACAUUAUAUCUUGUAAUAACAUUAGCUAGCUACUUGUCAACCAUCCUAGCAUUUCAGUCUGCGCGCUGUUUUAAUAAAAGGAUUUAUUUUUAAGUAUAAAAGGUCAUUAUUUCAUGAUUGCUCACCUUACUCAAUUCAGUUGAAUUCUGCUGAUACUGGUACCAACUACUAAAUUUCUAGUGUCUUGACCUCCCUAUUUAGGACUCGAGCUAACUCAUCUGGAGGUCUAAUGGCCCAGGAGUCAUUCCUCCUGCGCCAUCUUUGAAGUCCACUGCCUGGUGUGCAUGCAUUGUUGGUGCAUUGUAAUGUAAAUUCUCCGUGGACUUGCAGGCAUGCAGACAUUGACCCAGACCCUCAAAAUGACAAAAUGUACACUACCAAGCAAACUUAUGGAUAAAUAUGACCAAGAAUGACUCCUGCCUCAUAUAAUGCUCUUGGUCAAGAAAACGACAUAGUUUGCAUGCACCUAUCAGGAUUAAUGUACAUUAUACAUGUGUUAGAGAUGCUGUGGACAGAGUCUGCGCAUUGUUUUUUAUUUGCCAUUAAACCUAAAGGUAUCCAGUCUCCACACACCAAUAAUAUUGCCCUGGUUUAUCUGCCAAGAUGUGUCUUUGUAAUCCGAUCCCUCUCAUGCUAAAACAGCUUUUCUGCCCAGACUUCACACAGAUGUUGCUUGCCUUACACUAGCAGGGCCCUCGCAGGCUCCCCCACUCUAAAAUGGCAGAUCAUCAGCUCGCUGUGUGGUUCAAUUCUCCUUGAAGACAGGAGCAGAAUAUUGAAGACUACAGCUCUUUGUAUAAAUACAUAAUGAUACAGUGGGCAUGGCGAACUGUACAAGUUUUAGAGAUGUAUCCUUGUGCAACACGGGAGCUCGGUGUAAUAAAAAAUAAAUCAUGUCUCUAGUUGUUUUCAGUGUUGAUGCAGACAUAAAAAUGCAGAGGAGCUGAACUUAAGUUCUGUAGGCUGAGCCUUUUUCCUGUGUGCUGUUUUUGUUGAGGCACAUUACAUCAGCAGCCACCAAUCCAUCCCAUAGUUCUAACAACCUCACUAAGAUCUGUAGCCAGUUCUAAUCUCCUUCUGCCUUUCCUUUUUUUUUUUCCUUCUAUUUUUUCUCCCUCAUUUCUGUGAAGCGGUUUCCUUUUUUCCCUCUCGCAGCAAAGCGUUUCUGAAUUCAAAUCGCUCCUUGGUGAACUCACUGAGUGCCAACUCAGUGGAUGUGGAGGCGCAAACUUUGUGAGUGGCGUCAUUUUUGAUGUACACCCUUGUUCCUGACAAGGUUUUUGUCACUCCGGAACAAGGGUGUAUAUCAAAAAUGUCUUUCCAGCAGCUACCCCCACUCCUCUUCCACCUCCACCCCCCCAACCUGUCCCACGCAAGCCUGUGCACACACACAUACACCCCAACUUCAUUAGCAUACAUCAAGCCUCCCCAACAAUGUGACAAACUUCAUUUGAACGUUGAAAGUGUUGAGGGCUUGUUCCUUUCUGCUGGCAGCUGUCAAAAACCAUGCCAUGUGACGGUACCAAACGCAAGGGAAAGUCAAAACCACAAUCUAAAGACUAUAUAUAGAUGAAAUGUUGUCAUUUUAAGAUGACUGGGAGGGGAAAACGACUGCUGCUCCUCACAGUCUUCAAAACUAGAGAAUCACGCUUCAUCAAGAACAAACAAAAUCAUCUCUCAAAGAGCUUCUGAGAUGAAACCAGAUUUCUCUUUAGAAAGUCAGCGUCCCCUUUCAUUGCUCAGAGAAAAUAGUGGCGCACUUUUUUUCUCUCUGUGAUUCCCUUCCUCUCUUUUCUUUCCUAUUCACUUGCAUCUGCAGUCCGUCAGUGACCAAAGAACCUCAUGGAAGGUUUGAUCAGCAGUAUUGUUCAAAGGCAUCAAACAUCUGUCCUAAUAAGUGAGGAGCCUUUUUUCUCAGAUGCCGUCACGUCUCCUUCCACCUGUCAGAAAAAUAAACAUGCCUUUGCUGCAAAAAUCAUGUUGAAAGAAAAGUAAAAUGUGUUUGCGUGAAGAAAAGGAGAGAUGCGAGCAGAGGGACCUCGGAUAGGGCAGGAAAAUGCAAAGUCGAAGAAAAGGCGUCUCUUAGGAAACGAGUCAGACAUCUGCGGAGAGUUAGAUGCUUCUGUCUUGAAUUUUAACUCCAUUGUGAGACAUGGUGGAGUCAGAAAUUUGAAUUGAUAUUAUACCUAUUCUUGUCUGCUUUAUGCUGUAACUGCUGUCUGUUAGAUGUGUUGUUAUGAACAAAAAAAAAAAAAAGAGUCCUGCUUCCACCCACACAUGUUGCAUAGUAAACUGUGGCUAAGCUUUAGAUCAGGGAAGGCAAAUGUUGUGGUCUGCUACACUGUAGAAAGAGCAGAAAUACACCCUCAGGUUAAAGGAGCCCUAUAUAUAUGCUUUUCCCUAUGUACUCCUAUGUACUCUCUUACAGUGGUGGAUGCUUAAAUUAAACAUGGCCAAAGUUUGAAAUAAUGAGGUAUGCACAAGCGAGCCAAAAGCUCAGGCUUCAGGCUGCUCUAAAUUGUACACAAGUUUCUACUCUUGGAUCCCUGUAAUGUUAGUAUAGACAUCAGGCACACAGCAGCCCUGCCUCUCCCACCACCACCACUGCCAUCACCUGCUAUUCAAACGUUCUCUUUACGAGGGGCAGCCAAUCAGAAAUUAGAUUUAAAGCUAUGCAAUUAACUUGCAAUCUUAUUGCCUAUGAAAUGGCAGCUUUGAAGAUGGAGACCAGGUCUGCAAUUAUUCUCAGUCAGCUGCUGUCUUCAGAGCGACUUUAGUGCAUCAAGACGGCAAUAAAAUCGAGUCCGUUAGAUGGAGUCGCUCUGCUACCAGUUUGCAGUCAAAUGAGAUCAAGUUGGCAAUUACUUGUAAUCUGUUUGUAUAAGACAAACUUGUCAUCUACAGAAAUUUAGUGUCCAUCCAGAAUCUCUUGGAUCUGAAACAUAAAUUCAACAAUUCCUCCACAGAUAGUGACAUAGUUAAGAUUUAACUGCAGCACAACAUAAGCACUUGGCAAACUUUGAUUUUUAUAUAAGAUCCAAUACAACCAGCUGCCAGCCAGCUAUGGUGAGUCUGUUAUUGCAAAGAAAAGCGUCAUAGACAGUGGACACUCAUCGGUGCAGCAUGUUAGCAAUCUGCUUGUGUUUAUAAAUUAGAUGGCAGUUAUUUGCAAAGCCUUCACCAACCUGUCUAAGAGCGAUUGUAGUGAGUCUGAGUCACAUCACUAUUGUUUGGAGGUCGGUUACCUCCUAUCAGGCAACCUGUCCAAUCGCUUUGCAAUGAAAAAGUUGGUUGUGCAACACCCUCAACCUCUGGGGGACCGGUUAGUCACCGCAACUACUUGCAGCCAAAAAAAAGAUCAAUGCAAUCAGCAGGAAAACGCCACUUUUCCUAAUCACAUGCAGGCUGCUUUUCUAUUUUUACUCUUGUGUGACUGAGCUAUAAAACAUCUUGUUUCAGAGGAUGAACUGAAGGGCUGCACAAAGGGCUCGGUGAAAGAUAAACGUAUUAUUUUAACUGUGACUCAUCCAAAGCUGCUCUAGGACAAUCCAAGAAUGACAAAUAUGCAGCUGGAAAUUUGUAUAACAGGUAUAAUUCAUCUGGAUUUGAGGUGUAUUUUGUGUUUCUGUGUUCAUGGAAUAUGUAUGUGCUGUGCUGUUCCCAUCAUAUGAUUUUAUGAUGGGAACAGCAACAGAAAAUUCAAGUAAUAUUUUCUCUCACAGCCACUCUUUCAGCGCCAUAACCAUGAAGUCGUUGGUGCGAAUGUAAGCUGUAUGACCUUACCGUGUCAUAUAAUACAUGAAAUUUUCUAGUUUGUCGCCCUUACGACCGUAUGUUUAUCAUCCAGCCGCCGUGAAUGCGUUAUUGCUGCCUUGCCGAAUGUAUGGGACAGAAAACGGAGACAGCAUUGCCGCAAAGGAGCUUGUAAUUUAGGCAAAGCGGAUUUCUCGUUGCUGCGGUGACGGCACCAUACAUGAAUCAAGAAUGCAACACUGAGGAACUUGGCUUUUGAAGAAUCUAAGACUUAUAUUCAGAGUGGUUGGAAAGGGAUGUGUUUAUUCAACCAUUGUUUAUUGCUUCGGUCUGAGGUAGUGAAGUGUGUUUUGUCUUGGCUUGCCGUUUUGUUAUGACUACAGGAGCUGCUAUAGAUAGAGACAGACAUUUUGAAAAUCUGCAC